GGCUACACACGUGCUACAAUGGGUAGUACAGAGAGUCGCAAACCUGCGAGGGGGAGCUAAUCUCAGAAAACUAUUCUUAGUUCGGAUUGUACUCUGCAACUCGAGUACAUGAAGUUGGAAUCGCUAGUAAUCGCGAAUCAGCAAUGUCGCGGUGAAUACGUUCUCGGGUCUUGUACACACCGCCCGUCACACCACGAGAGUUGGUUGCACCUGAAGUAGCAGGCCUAACCGUAAGGAGGGAUGCUCCGAGGGUGUGAUUAGCGAUUGGGGUGAAGUCGUAACAAGGUAUCCGUACGGGAACGU
rnacentral:rRNA from 1 species